rnacentral:rRNA from 1 species
GACGAACCGUGCGAACGUUGUUCGGAAUCACUGGGCUUAAAGGGCGCGUAGGCGGGCUUGUAAGUCCGGGGUGAAAGCCCCCAGCUCAACUGGGGAAGUGCCUUGGAAACUGCAGGCCUAGAGGGAGGUAGGGGCAUGUGGAACUUCGGGUGGAGCGGUGAAAUGCGUUGAUAUCCGAAGGAACGCCGGUGGCGAAAGCGACGUGCUGGAUCUCUUCUGACGCUGAGGCGCGAAAGCCAGGGUAGCGAACGGG